GGUGCGCGAGCGGGUGCCCACAGAGAACCGCAUAACCAGAGGGGUACCACAAGCGGGGCUCUCGUGACCAAUUUGCGCAGCGGGGCUGGAGGCGAUCACUAAGGCGUACCAACCCGAAAACCAAAACGCUAUCACUUUAUACGACCCAGUACCAUCAUACAUUAUUAAUAUCACCAAAAUACACUUAUGUUAUGAAUAAGCAAGCGUUUCUAUACAAUACGCAGUCAAAAUAUGCUGGAAAUGUACAACAUGAAAUACUUAAGUUUUCGUCUCGUAAUGUUGGUGGAUCAGGGGCCUGCUUGGCCCGCCGGCCCGCCGCCAUAUUAGGCCACAGUGUUGUUUGUUGUUGUCGUCUCGUCUGCCGAGGGAGACUCCAUGCCGUGGAGUAAUUUUAAGAAGAUUUAUUGGAGAUAUUUGCUGCAGAGUUACUAUUUCCUCGUCAAUCAGUGGAAGGUGUCGAUUGCUGGCAACUCCAGAGCCAACCCAUAUCAAGUUUUUUCCGAGCUGAGCGACCACUUGCUGAUGAGACUUCUUUAAGCAAAUUUGGCUAAAGAAACUUGGUCCCAAUUUGAUACCAGAGAAGAUCAAGUGCAUUUACGUUACCAUCAAUACUAUACCAUUCUAUCCUAUUUGUUAUUUUAUAUUGUGGACAAUAUACUAUUAGGAACUUA